UAAACUAGGUAGUUAAUUGGUAAACCCUACUCAUUUAGAGUGGAGGGUCUGGGUGGUUGGGGUAGGGCAGAGGGCUGCGUACCCACUCGGGUAGGGGCUCGAGUGGCACGAGCGCGUGGUACCACCGAUGGAGACGGUGGAGGAACGAGGCGUGGUGGUCGAGAUGGUGUCGAUGUCAACGAGACCACAGCAACAACACAGGGCGGGCACAGAUGAGGUGCAGAGGUGGUUUGUAACGAAGGUAGUGGCCUGCCCAUUAGGGGUAGCAGCGGAACCAAGGGGUGGCGGGGAAGGGACAGUACUAGGGAGGAGGUUGCUACCACACAGUAAAAACCUACCGUUUCUUCAACGUGCGCGUAGUGUCCGGAAUGUGGGACGUUGGGAUACACCUCAUGAACACCUCUUUUUUUAUCAUAUACCGUUUCCUUCUUAAUAACUGUAUAGUUGGAAAGGUACAAAGGACAUAUACCUCGAAGACGUUUAUACUGAUGGACAGCCUUGGUGGUAUUCAGCUGCUUAUAACGCAAUCGGGAUUCCUCGAACGCAACGACGUUACUAAUAGGUACUAGUGGAGUAAAUCAUCCACAAUGCUGUAAGCGACUCGCCUUCACCUUUAUCACCACAACAGUAACAGCCUCUACUAAGGCCGCUUAAAGAGCCAUGAUAUAGGGCUACACCAUUAAUGCGGUCUCCCCUUUGUUCCUCCGCUCAAAUGGGUCCAAGCAUCGGAGAGCCACCUCUAUUUUGGGAUGAGGACGAGCCACAUAUAACACUAACCCCAUUUGCCUCAUGUACAUAUUUGGUUCUCUAACAUUUCAUAUAUAGAUGAUCGAAACCGGGACCGAAUAUAUUGUUUGGCUUACUACCACAGGGUCUAUCUCCCCACGGUUGGUGCAGCCAAGGGUAUGUACCCGACCCAGCUCCUGGGGGUUUGUUGGUUGAUCACCCGGUACAAGCAGUCCGGGGUACUUCGUUAGUUCUACCUAGGGAGGUUUCUGAACCGCGUAUGAUGUUCCGUGGUUACGUUAGAAGCUGCACAAAUAGAGCUCUACAUUCACAUUCGGAUCCAUGGUGCCACAGAUGUAUUCAGCUCCCCAGAUCUGGCAUCUCCGCUUUAGUAAGUAUGUGCUAGCGCACCACCUAGUUGUACAUGAGACAUGGGACAGUUGU
rnacentral:rRNA from 1 species